rnacentral:rRNA from 1 species
AUGGGAUCGUCCUUGGAAGAAUUGACAAAAACCAACGUUCUGAGGCCAGCCAAACGAUUGGUGGGGGAGUACCAAGCUCAUCGCCUUCAGGAUGAAUUUGUUGUGGAAGAUCAUAUAAAGAUUCUAGUGAGAUCCAUGGCUAAAGAUUUGGAGCGCCACCAUGAUCAAGGCCACUGCCUUGCAGCCUUCGACCACAGGAACAUCCAAAUAAACGAUAAGGGCCGUGGUAAAAUAACUGGUGUGGCUUAUAUUGAGAAGAGUGACGUCGACAUUAAGAAUAAUUAUCUGGAUCUUCACAAUGUUGUGCUUAACACUGUCUUUAGGCAUUUCAGUUUGAAGGAACAACUACCCAGAGAACGGAGAAUGCUCUUAUUACUGAUGAGAAAAGAGUGCAUUGGAAAGGAAUAUUUAAUCCGCAACAAUGUUGCUCUAAUGCCGAUUCAAUUAAGGGUCCUUUUCUUCCAGACUGCUUACGAGCAUGUGAUGUUCUUCUUGCGAGAUGAUCCAGCGAAGCAGAAGAGGAUUUUGGACAGGCUUCCUUAUUUAAAUAACUGGACUGAUCUGCUAAGAGGCAACACACUCUUGGAAGCAUCUCUUGCUCACAAGUCGCAUGAUAAAACUACAGCAGAGGGUUUUUUCACUUAUUACAGAGAUAGCAACAGCCACAGACUGGAUCGGUGCCACCUCCUUCGUACCGUGGGAUGCUACACGGCCAAACAAUUCGAGAUGAAUCUCAUGGUCGGAUACACCCUUUACUUGGCUAUGCUGGAAGAUUCGCUGGAUAAAGAGGGGGAGUUGGAGAAGCUGGAAGUUCAUGUGAUGUUCUGA